UCCCUAAAUGCCACUCCUUUUGUUUCGUUGGAAGUGUGACUCUUCAGUGAAAACAAUAAUGCAUCUCUUAAGUGUUUCACUAAUGGCACUCUGGCUUCAACUGAAUGGGGUGAGCACCCAGCAGAAGGUGCAGCAGAACCCAGAAUCCCUCAGUGUCUCACAGGGAGCCAUGGCUUAUCUCAACUGCACUUCCAGUGAUCGUAAUUCUGAUUACUUCUGGUGGUACAAACAGCAUCCUGGGAAAGGCCUCAAGAUGCUGAUGUCCAUCUUCUCCAACGGUGAGAAGGAAGAAGGCAGAUUCACAGUUCACCUCAACAAAGCCAGCCUGCAUGUUUCCCUACAUAUCAGAGACUCCCAGCCCAGUGACUCAGCUGUCUACUUCUGUGCAGUGAGCACACAGUGCUCCCCAGGCACCUUCAGCCUGCACCCAAACCUACUGGGUCCCAGCAAGGUCUGAGCUACAGUGCAGAAAACAGGGUGGAGAAAUUCUUAUUAUCUCCUUGUACUCCAUUUACAACGGGAAUUAA